rnacentral:rRNA from 1 species
UACGUAGGGGGCAAGCGUUGUCCGGAUUUAUUGGGCGUAAAGAGCUCGUAGGCGGCUAUUCACGUCGGAUGUGAAAGCUCAAGGCUCAACCUUGAGAGGCCAUUCGAUACGGGAUAGCUAGAGGUAGGUAGGGGAGAACGGAAUUCCUGGUGUAGCGGUGAAAUGCGCAGAUAUCAGGAGGAACACCGGUGGCGAAGGCGGUUCUCUGGGCCUGUACUGACGCUGAGGUGCGAAAGCGUGGGGAGCAAACAGG